rnacentral:rRNA from 1 species
GACGAACGCUGGCGGCGUGCUUAACACAUGCAAGUCGAACGGUAAGGCCCCAGCUUGCUGGGGUACACGAGUGGCGAACGGGUGAGUAACACGUGGGUGACCUGCCCCGCACUUCGGGAUAAGCCUGGGAAACUGGGUCUAAUACCGGAUAGGACCGCACCGUGCGGGGGUGGUGGAAAGUUUUUCGGUGGGGGAUGGGUCGGCGGCCUGUCAGCUGGUUGGUGGGGUAGUGGGUUACCAAGGCGGCGACGGGUAGCUGGCCUGAGAGGGUGGAUGGCCACAUGGGGACUGGGACACGGCCCAGACUCCUACGGGAGGCAGCGGGGGGGAAUAUGGCACAAGGGGCGGAGGCCGGAGGCAGCGACGCGGCGGGGGGGAGGACGGCCUUCGGUUUGUAAACGCCUUUCACCAUCGACGAAGGUGUUCGGACGUUAGAUGUAGAAGAAGCACCGGCAAACUACGU